UUAUUCAAUAUUCAUUCAAUACAAUCAAUUCAAUUAUCAUUAAUUCAUUCAGAUUAUUCAAUCCAAUCAUUCAUUCAAAUUAUCACUCAAUUUUUCGCUAUCUUUUUAAAACUUGAAUUCAAUUUUUAACAUAUGUUUUUGCGCCUUUAUUCGAACAAAGGCAAAGUUGCGGCUUUUCUUAAUUAGAUCCAAGUUGAUGGACAUUACUUUCUCAUCAUCUUCAUCUUUAGAGAGCUGUUAAUGGAGGUUUAAAGCCCUGAAUUUUACUGUUAUGAGGCUCCAGCAUCGUAAAUUAUCAAAAAAGUUGUUUUUCUGGUACUAAAUUUCAACGUGACUUUGUAUGUCUACAACACUUCAAGAAGGAUUUUUCUUUAGAUUUUUUUUUUUUAUUAUCGAUUUUCACCUUCUUUUUCAGAUUUGAAUUACUAUUUUAUCUAUGUAUUUUGCCUAAUCAUUUUCUUUGGGUGAUACACUGUAGAGGUUAUCCUUUAGAUCUCAAAUUUUUUAGAAACUCGAUCAUCUUUAUUCAGAUGAAUCAGAAGCUAUUGUUGCAGGCAAAUUCAUUGGGUAUACCAAAGAGGCAUAUUAUGUGAGUCCAGAGAAAGCCUAUGACCUUCUUUUUCCUUAUCUUUCUUGAAACAAUCUGCUUUAAUCCACUUCGAAAAUUAGUCAGUCAAAAAUAAAAUUUUACCUGACCAAUCAUUAUUGGGAGUGACUCUACAAUAUGUUCGUCCCUCUUUCAUGAAUGGACAUGGUGAAAUCAUGGGGUGUAGAGACUUCGCUAGUUAGAUGUAUGAUGAAUGUGUGUCGCUGGGGCUUGUUCCAUUUUUGAAUGAAAGUUUUAGUGUCUUGCUUCAUUUUUGACCAAUAAUAACCAAAUCUAAUUAAUUGUUGAACAAGAGCUUGGCAUCAGAAUGAUUAUUAGAGACACCUGUGUGGACUUCUUUUAUUACAUACCCAGCCUUUGUUAAGCCUAGGCAUCCGAUCAAUAGACCGGUAAAAGAUCUUUAAUAACCAAAUGAUCAACUAUAUUAAAGAUCUUUUACCAAGCAGAACAAUGCAACUUUUGUGCAGAGUACUCAAAAUUCCUUUUCAUCUGUCGGCAACUUCCCUUCUUUUAGAUAGUCAAUGUAAUGAUUCCUCCAAUCUCAUAUCAAGUCUUUAUGAUUUAUUUUUAGCUAUGUCAAGGGUUGAAUUGAGAAAUUUAAUUACCUUUUCAGAGUUUGACUCCAUAUUCGUGAAGUUCCCAAGGUCACUAAAGUAUUCGCCUCGGUGUUUCGUGGUAUGGGGGUCACUAUCCAUUCCUUGAAGUGACUCAAGGUGUCGAAUGUCUUAUUGAAAUAUCUUUUCAUUUAUUCGUCUUUAAACUAGAAAGCUCCAUUGAUCUGGUUCACCUUCAGAAGAGAAUUAUAUCUUGCUUCAAUGGUUUUCAUUCCUCGAUUUUGGACUAAAUUCAUACCAGCAAUCAAUGUCUCAUACUCGAUUUUCAUUGUCAGUAACAUGAAUAAUUUGAUGUCUUACCAGAUGACAUUUUCGGAAAGAGUUUUUAAAAUAAUACCUAAUUAUGAAACUUGUAUUUUGGAUGUCCUAUCCAUACAUAGUUCUAUAUGUUAGGCUCAACUCCAAUGAUUCUAACAUGAUCUUUUCCAUAAUAACUCUUAAGUUCAAAUUAUAUUCUUAGGUUCAAUUAAUUCAAUUGUAAGUUCAAAGUUUAAUUCAAAUUUACACAAUAGUAUUGUAACUAAUCAAAUAUCAAAGUAACAAGCUAGUUAAUAAAUUUAUAUCAAUUUCAAUUUAAAUUCAAUUCAUAAUGCUCAUUCAACAAUCAAUAUGUGUGUAUGUAUGUAUGUAUGCACAUAUAUAUAUGUAUGUAUAUAUUACCCUUAUAUAUAAGCCAACAAGCUGUUGGACCAACACAAUUCAAAAUAACUGUACAAAAUGCAAUACAUAUUUCACAAAAGUAUCUAUGAAGAAUGCUCUAUUCUUCGUUAAUUUCGAAACAUGUGUAUUGUAAUACAGAAAACAGGUGAACUUUCUCUCUCUGUGAACCAUUAUCAAUUAAUCUAAAUCUCUUCAUCUCCUUCUCUACUUCUCUGUGUUCUUCAUAGCAUUACUAUUGAUUUCUUUGAACCAUCUAUGGUAAUUGAAAAUUCGCAACUGCUUCUUUGGGGUUAUGGAAAGGAAAGAGAGACACAAUUACUCUUUGAGAGUUUCAGUUAAGCUGGGAAGGCUUUCAAUUGGAUCAGUGAAGCAAUCAAACAGUGGAUUAGAGGAUCUACUGACAUCUACGGAAGGAGAGAAACAUGAUUAGGAUUGGUUCCUCACUCUUCCAGGAACUCCUCAUGUUCCUUCAUCAGAUUGAAGUGAAUCAAAACCUGUUUCAGUGGCUCUAAGAGACAGCUCAUUCGUCAGAUCGGCCUCCACUAAUUAGGCUUCAAGGGUUAUAUGGUUGAUGAGAAGGGCGCCUCCCCUUCCUUGCUGCGGUAUUGGUCUUGGAUUAAAUCUGAAACUAUUGUACUAAUGCUAAUGUGGAUGCAUCAGCGAAUGCUGUAGAAGUUGCUGGAGAAGCAACCCGCAGAACAAUCUGAAGUUGAUGAUGCUGAGGCUCUUACAAUUCUAGGCUAAAGUAUUCGGACGCACACUCUUCUAACUCCCUGUAUCAGCUAUUGUUGCGAUGGGUGUUUGUUGUUACGACUUAGAAUUGGUUGUUAAUUAGGAAAAUAUCAUCAAAAUAGGAUUGUGUGUCUAUAUAAAUACUUUAUCAUCUAUACAGUUGCUCGAUAAAACAAUUAGCCGUAAUUCAA